AUGAAGGCUGCAGCUGCCUCUCUGCUCCUGCUCGGUGUGUGUGUGCUGCUGCUGUCUGCACUGACUCUUUCUGCAGGUCUGAUCCUGGAGAUCCCUCCACAUCCUGUGCCAGCAGGAAGUGAUGUCACUAUGCGCUGCAAACAGAGUAAUGGUGACAUCAUCACAGCUAAUUUCUUCUUUAAUGGAAGUCAUGUUGGAAAUAAAUCAGAGUUCAUCAUCACAAACGUUCAGCAGUCUGAUGAAGGUCUCUACUCCUGUGCUACUGAUGUGUUUGGAGAAUCUCCUCAGAGCUUUCUGAGGGUCAGAGAUCCUUCUCCUCAUCUCCACACCCACACCUCCUCUAAUCCUGUGAACUCUCCUGCUCUUGUUUCUCCUGUAACAGACUCCUCCGCUAUUCCCUCCUCCUCCAUCCUCAUUCCGGUUGUAGCAGGUCUGGUUUCCGUGGUUCUUCUGGUUUUGGUGGUUUGGGGAGUUCUCUGGAAGAAACAGAAAGGUAUGAAAUCUUUCAGAGUUGUUGUUUUUUAAAUAGAUGAUUAAUAUGGGCUCAAAUUGUGGUCAUAAAUAUUUUGUACUUGUAAAUCAGGCUUUGUAUGUGUAAAAAGAAUUUGUGUGUGGACUUAGCCCAAAAAAUACGUGUGAAACUCUCCAAGUUACAAGUACGAAUUUUGACCCGGUUUUUCUUCCUUUCAUCUGAUUGGUCAAUCAGAGAACAGAUGGGUUUGGCUGUCGGAGGGGCGCUUUUUUGAACUGCAGGUCCUUGAAGGGUAAUACAGUUUGAAGCUGGAGGAUCUCUAUGUUGCGGGAAUUGCCGUCUUGUGUGUGGCUGGGUGCAGUGAGGUGUGUAUGUGAUGUGUGUGUGAGCAUGCACGUGAAGGAAACGCGGGGAGCGGAAAAAGAAAAAGAGAGAGAGAGUGUGACACGGGUAGAGAGGGCGACCGGGAGCGGCGUUCUAACGGGCUACAGCCUAUGCAUUGUGCUUUGAAGUGUGCAGCGCUGUUAUUAAAGCCUCAUCUCUUCAGUACUCUCCGGUGUCUCGGCUGAUUCCUGCCUGCCUCACUACUCCACAAAAGUGAAGGGAGUUAACCCCGAAGGAGGACAAACUUCGGCCCUGGAGGAAGCAUCUCCCCUCGCGUCUCCCGACCACGGUCAGGGGACUGACGGCGAGGAAUGGUUAACACUGGCGACCACGAAGGGACCCUUUCACGCUGUCAAAGGAGUGGUGAGCACUGAGAAAAACCGACAGGCUAAAGCGGCUAACGAUAAAGCCGAGUGACCGUAAUUACAAGUAUAUUGGCC
rnacentral:lncRNA from 1 species